GAUGAACGCUGGCGGCGUGCUUAACACAUGCAAGUCGAACGGAAAGGCCCAAGCUUUCUUGGUUACUCGAGUGGCGAACGGGUGAGUAACACGUGUGUGAUCUGCCCUUCACUUCGGGAUAAACCUGCGAAACUGCGUCUAAUACCGGAUAGGACCACUUCUUGGAUGUUGUGGUGUAAAGUUUUUUCGGUUUGGGAUGAGCUCGCGGCGUAUCAGCUUGUUGGUGGGUUAAUGGCCUACCAAGGCGUGGACGGGUAGCCGGCCUGUGACGGUGUACGGCCACAUUGGGUCUGAGGUGCGGCCGAGGUUCGUAAGGGAGGGCGAAGUGGGGAAGAUUGCAGGAUGGGCGCAAGCCUGAUGCAGAGAGGCCGCGUGGGGGAUGACGGCCUUAGGGUGGUAAAAUCAUUUCGUAAGGAACGAAGCGUGUUGUGACGGUACCUGGAGAAGAAGCCACGGCUAACUACGUG
rnacentral:rRNA from 1 species